CAGAACUUCCCUAGCCAGCAACCCCUACUUCACACCUAACUGAGCGAGCUCCCCGGUUGUGGCCCGGGAUGACAAUACCCGCGUAGCACUGAGCAGUGUCUGUGUUACACACUGAGAUGGUGGGCAGGUUAACAUAAGGUGCCCCUGUGCGAAGCUGGCGGUCAGCCGUGGGAUCAGUACUCCCGGAAGACACGACUCCCGGAAGACACGGCUGCCGGAGCUGCCUGGAUCCCAUCAGGGAAGCUUCCAGGAGUGCUGUGGCCAACAGUAGUAGUGGCUCCAAUGACAGCAGCAGUGAACUUCAGCACAACUCACUGGCCAGUAUUCUGGAGGAUGUGACACUGAUGUCAGCCAGAUUUUCAGUGGAGACAAUGGCACAAGAUGCCAACAGAAGCUUCUCCCAGGUUCUCUUCAGAUAUUUGAGUAACCAACCAUCAUUGUGAAAAGCUAAAGCAUGAGGAAAGAAAGAAAGAAGGAAAAGAGUAGAAUUAGCUUUGUGUCUAAUUCCACGGAUGAUAGAUUUCUCAAUUAAAGUCCAUUCGCUGAAUACCACCUGAGCAGCAUAUUUCCAGACCUCUUCAGGGAGAGGGCGUUUGACUCUGCUGAUGGGAACUUUGGCAGUUCUGUUUCUGAAGUUCCACUUCAAGAGGGCUCCUUGCUGUUCCCUGAGCCUUUGCAUCCACCACAUUCUCCACACUGUCUGCAGUUAGGUCUCGAUUCACAUGUCGCCUUUCCCGAUGACCCUAAAACGGCAAGAAUCCUUCCUACUUCGUGUGCCUUCACCAAGCUUCCUGCUCUAUUUCUCCACAUAGCACUUACCUGUCAAAUAUCUCUAUAUAAAUAAAAUAUAUGUAUUUAUAUAUAAUUUAUAAAUAAUAUAUAUAUUUCUGUAGUGUAUGUCAUCUCUCACCAUAAUAAAUUGUAUGAAAAAAAGGACUUUAAUUUCUUUCCUGUUAUCUUUUUGGUGUAUAAAACUUUGCCUGGUGCAGAGCAGGUGCUCAAAACAUUUUGUUAAAUGAAUGAAAUUAUGAACAGAUGUCAAUGAAGGUUCUUAAAUAAAAUAUUAUUGUGUAGAAAAUAAAUGUACACUUUAUAAUGCCUUCACAAUAAGGAAAGCCCCUGUUUACUCAUAUGUUUUACUGAAGGAUUAACACUCAACCUUCAACAAUAAAAAUUCAUGUUGUACAAAAUAAGGUGUGUGUGCUAACAAUAACUUGGAGUUUUUUUGCAUUAGUAAAAAUUAGGCAUUUUUUUCUGAAAAAGAGAAGGCAUCACAACAUUAUUGUUAUUAGUUAUUAGAAGAUAAAUGUUAUUAGAAGAUAAAUACAGAGUGGAAAUGUCUGAGACUUGAAUACUGUUAAACAGCGAUGUGCUCCUUUGUCAGAAUGUAAUUAUUAAUUUAUUUUUUAUAAGGGAUGUAUCUAUGUAAUAGGAAUUUUAGAAAAUACUGGAAACACUAAGAAGAAAAUGUAAAUCGCAUUUUAUUUCAUCAUCAGAGGUAACUGAUGUUAAUUUGAUAUAUACCUAAUAUGUGUUUUAGAUGAGAAUUACAAAGCAUUGGUAUUACAGUUUACGAGUUUUAUGAAACCUGGUAUUGUUCUAUUUAAUAAUAUAUCUAAAUAUCUUCUCAUGUUAUUAAAUGUUACCCUACAUGACAUUUUAAUAGCUUAAUAGUAUUUUACUUUAUGGAUGAAAACUAUUAAUUUAGUGAGUCCCGUAUUGUUGGACAUUUACAUUAUUUAUGAUUUUUCACUGUUACAAACAAUAUUUCAAAGAGCAUCCAUAUAGUAAAGCUUUAUACCUACCCAUGGUUAUCUCCUUAGAAUGAAUUUCUGUAAGUGGAAACUUUAGGUCACAGAAAGUAUGCACUUUUCACUCACUUUAUAUUUACCUCCAAAUUAUUCUCCAGAAAGAGUAUGGCAAAUUUUUCUUCCUACAUCAGUGUACAGAGUAUAAGUAAAUUAAUUUUAUAUAAUGAGGAGGAAAUGUUAUUUUGACAGCUAAGUUCAAAGUUUAUUUUAAAAUAAAAGCUUUUGUUUGGAAAAUCACUUUAAUAUAUGCUUAUGGUAGAAGGUAAGCUUCCCGAGGGCUUACAAGUCAAUAGCUGCUUUGUAUGGGGCAAGGGGAGAAAAAAGGCUUUUUUCAUACUGAGUUGGGUAAGAUGGUGAGAGUUCUGGACCAUUGGAAGGGCCAGUAAAACCCCAUGGAAGUCAGGAGUUUCAAUGGUAUGUGAAUAUCAUUCUUCAGAAAACAAACAAACAAAAAUACUACUGUAAAGUUGUUUGCGUUGUUGUUACAAGUUAUGUAAAGUUAACUCAUGAGAAGCUUGUGUGAAUGGAGUUUUUAGUAGAAGUUGAAGGGAGGUUGAUUAUUAUCUUGGGGUCACUGUGGGGUAGCAUUUGAGUUGAUAAACAGGGAGCUAGGAACCCAGGAAAAGAAGGGAUGAUGAAAGUCAAGUCCUCAAGAAUGUGCCGAAAUCUUGGUGAGAAGCUUGUAUUUCCUAGUUCAUUGGGACAGUGGAGAGACAGCAAUGAUUGAGUGACGUUUGUUAAUUUCCUGGGGGCGUGGAGGCUCCCACCUGACAUCUGACUUAUAUAUUAGUAAACUCUAGAUAUUAGUUUUGAAGACCUUUUAAUGUGAAUAUUAAAGUUGUCACAGCAGGCAAUGUUCAAAGCUAGUUCUGUUAUUGUUGCCAUUAGAUCCAGAAUAGUGAGGCUGGUAGAACCCCUUAAUUCGUGUUUUCUUUUGGUCAUGAUGAGAUAGAUAAAAGUAUACAGUGACUGUAAAGAGAGAUCAGCAUGAAAAAGUGUAAGCCUGGGUUGGGUUGUCAGAUUUGGCAAAUAAAAAUAUUGCAUAUUAAUACCAAAAAAAUGUUCAUUGUUUCUCUGAAAUUCAAAUUUAAUUGGUGUCUUGUAUUUUAUCUGGCAAACUUAAGCUUGAGUUUCUAAUAAGGACGAAGCGACCAUUCAGGAGAUGCG
rnacentral:lncRNA from 1 species